rnacentral:rRNA from 11 species
GGGCGCCGUAACUAUAACGGUCCUAAGGUAGCGAAAUUCCUUGUCGGGUAAGUUCCGACCUGCACGAAUGGCAUAAUGAUGGCAGCGCUGUCUCCAGCAGAGACUCAGUGAAAUCGAAAUCGCAGUGAAGAUGCUGUGUACCCGCGGCUAGACGGAAAGACCCCGUGAACCUUUACUACAGCUUUACAUUGAACUUUGA